AACUUAGCGGUUCGGCAAUACAGACCGACAGAAUACGUACUAGACUUACAAAGAUUAAGUCCUAGGGUCGAUUUCUUCGACUAAAGGCGUUGCUCCAGCAUGGCCGCCGUCAUAUGACUGAAAAAAAUGAGAGUAGAGUAAAAGAGUAUCGUACCUUUAUGUGUGUGUGUGUGUGUGCGCGCCCCACUGGAGAGAAAUAUGAGGAACGAAGUGUAUAAAUGUUAAAGAAAAUAAUUGUUGUUGCUCUUAUAGAGAGAAAGGUAAUUUCUACUUGCAGAUACUGGUAUUGCUUACGUUUAAGGAUUACUUGUGGUGGUUGACCAGACAACAAAUUACACUGGGAUCAAGUCCACUCUGGGGAAGAGAGAUAAGGUAUCCAGCCUGUCUUGUUGCGGAGUUAUUCUGCUGGGGAUUUUAAUACGACUGAAGAAAUGAACGAUCAACUGAGCAAUUUAGUAACCCUCAGGGUUUGAAAUAAACGAAAGCCAAUGUCUAUAUUUGGGAAGACACAAUAAUGUCUUAUAUAAUUACUUUAUGGAAGACAAUAUUACUUUUAUAAAGUUCAGCAUGACUGAAUCUUGCUUUCACAUUUUUUGUUGCCCGUGUGAAUGAAGCUCUGCUAUGUCUUUGUAUAUUUCUUAUUUCAGUUUCAAUUUAGUCCAACAAUUGUUGUGAAAAGAGACGAUUCAAAAUAUAUUUCUUGACAUCCAAAUAUA